rnacentral:rRNA from 1 species
GACGAACGCUGGCGGCGUGCUUAACACAUGCAAGUCGAACGGUAAGGCCCCAGCUUGCUGGGGUACACGAGUGGCGAACGGGUGAGUAGCACGUGGGUGACCUGCCCCGCACUUCGGGAUAAGCCUGGGAAACUGGGUCUAAUACCGGAUAGGACCGCACCGUGAGGGUGUGGUGGAAAGUUUUUCGGUGUGGGAUGGGCCCGCGGCCUAUCAGCUUGUUGGUGGGGUAAUGGCCUACCAAGGCGGCGACGGGUAGCCGGCCUGAGAGGGUGGACGGCCACAUUGGGACUGAGACACGGCCCAGACUCCUACGGGAGGCAGCAGUGGGGAAUAUUGCACAAUGGGCGGAAGCCUGAUGCAGCGACGCCGCGUGGGGGAUGACGGCCUUCGGGUUGUAAACUCCUUUCACCAUCGACGAAGGUUUUCUGACGGUAGAUGGAGAAGAAGCACCGGCUAACUACGUGCCAGCAGCCGCGGUAAAAC